GAACUUACAUGAAUUGACGGGGGCCCGCACAAGCGGUGGAGUAUGUGGUUAAUUCGAUGCAACGCGAAGAACCUUACCUGGUCUUGACAUCCCGGAGACCCUUAGGAAACUAGGGGGUGCUUCCAUCUGGAAGAAUCUGGAGACAGGUGCUGCAUGGCUGUCGUCAGCUCGUGUCGUGAGAUGUUGGGUUAAGUCCCGCAACGAGCGCAACCCUUGCCUUUAGUUGCCAGCAGUUCGGCUGGGCACUCUAAAGGGACUGCCGGUGUUAAACCGGAGGAAGGUGGGGAUGACGUCAAGUCCUCAUGGCCUUUAUGACCAGGGCUACACACGUACUACAAUGGCCGAUACAAAGGGCAGCGACACUGCGAGGUGAAGCCAAUCCCGUAAAAUCGGUCUCAGUCCGGAUUGGAGUCUGCAACUCGACUCCAUGAAGUUGGAAUCGCUAGUAAUCGUGGAUCAGCAUGCCACGGUGAAUACGUUCCCGGGCCUU
rnacentral:rRNA from 1 species